rnacentral:tRNA from 1 species
GCCCGGUUAGCUCAGUUGGAUUGAGCAUCGGGUUAAUAACGCGAACGUCGUGGGAUUGAACCCCAUACUGGCCA